UAUAGAUAACAUCAGAAAGUAAUACCUUCAUGCUUGGUGUGGAUAUCAUUAAGAUAUGCCCUAAAUAAACAGGUGUAACAUCCAAUCAUGGUACAAAAGUGUGUGACACGAAUGAGUGUGUGGAAUCAGGAUCUACUAAUACUUUAGGUAGGUUCUUUGAGAUAGGAUACGUACCUAGAACCACGUAUGGGUUUGCUUCAACAUUUGCUGCAGUAAGUGUGUACACUCGUCCUCGUCUUUGAGCGUGUGGUUAUCCCUUUAUAAGUGGGCAGUUACGGAUCAGAUGUUGUUGGCUAUCACACUUAAAAUAGGAUCGAGUGACACAAUGACACGACUGAUUACCAUGAUUCUUUCCACAAGUACGGCAGGUCGGUGCCCUACCAAGAGUUGAUGGUGGUAUAGGAGAUGCCUCUGUUACCAUUUUGGGCCUCUUAUCUUAUGAACUAAACCCUAGAAUCUGUCUUCUCAGAUGUACCAGGGGUCUAGAAUUGCUUGCUCUGGAGGAUAAACCCCU
rnacentral:lncRNA from 1 species